UGAGUUUUAAUGGAAGACCUUUUGACUGUAGAGGAAAAGGUGAUUUCUCCAACUCAAUGCGCUUCAUUGGUUGAAAUUAAUUUAAAGUUGUCAUAACUCAAAAAUGAUGGGUGUUUUGCAAAACUGUCUGUGUGGUUCGCCUAAAAGAGUUUUAUGUGUGUUUGUUGUUUGUUUAGUAUUAUGGUGUUACUGUGCGUGUUCCAAGUUAGGAGGGAGGGUCUCCGUCCGGCCCGGCUCCUCAGUCUCCUGGCAUGACACCAGACUGGAUUGAGACCGUGUUGCGCAGAUUGUACACAGUUCCAUGUUUAGAUGGGGUGCACGGCUGGUCAGAAUCAUGCGCGCCGGAGCUCCAAAUCAUUCUUUUCAUUUUAAUUUGAAUUCCAUGUGUUUCCCUGUUUGGAAACUGAAUGAAAGUGUUUUGAGUUCCAUGGUGACGGUUAUCUAAACCACCGAGCGCGCGAGAGAGGGAGAGAGCGCGUGCGAGAGAUUUCUGUUUUUACCCCUUUUUUCCAAUCCUUUAUCUUACGCUCUACAUUAAAAUCGAAGUGAUUCAAUAUAUAUAUAUACGUGGAUAUAUUCCUGUAAAAAUUAAAAUCAAUCAGCAUGUCUUGAUGUUAACAGUCCGAAGAGAACUUUAAUAAUAGUUUAUGUGGUGUGUAUUGUGCCACUUAGUUUCUUCUGCACAGACAUCUUUAUCUUUGGAUGACUAAUGAUAAAAUUGAUCAGCUGACAUGUGAACCUGUUCGUUUUGAGUGAUAUUAAUAAAAAAACCCUGAAAAGUAAAACCGACCCGAGGUAACAGUCUCAGGCUGAUCACAAUGUGGUCCGUAUCAGGGAGGUCACGUCCUCCCUGUUGAGAUAAUGUUGAGCCUAAACAUUUGGUUUCAGCGAGCAGUCUACCUUCAUGAACUGACUCGCUAACAAGAACUGGAGUAACCAUAUUAAUUUGUAUCGGUGAUUCCUAUAUGGGUACGUGUCUAUACAAUAUCUUAAGCAGUGUAAGUGCGAAUUCUUCUGGCGAAUUCUAUUCUCUGAAUAAUUUCUGCAUAUUUUCUCUUUAAAUGCUGUGUAUAUGUCCAAUGAUAAGUAAUUAGUAAGAUCAGAUGGCAGUAGUAGUCUGCACAUUUUUUAAAUUCUGUAUAAUGUGUUGUACGCCUGUUACAGAAGUGAUAUCUGAAUCAGUAACAUUAGAAUAAGGUGAUGAUUUGAUUACUUACUUUUGCCGACAUGUUGUGCUGAUAUGAGUUUGGGAGGUAGUUUAAUUACGGUCCCUUUACAAUAGUGUAGUUUGAAGUGUUUUUUUUUCCUGAACCGUAGAUUGGUGAAUAGAAUAGAGUAGUUACGCAAAUAUAUAUGUGUGGGUGUGUAUAUAUAUACAUAUGUGCUAUACGGUGUGCUAUGGAUAUGUCAUACAAAGUAUACGAGUUACAAUAUUUAAAUAAUACAAAGCAGUGGUCACAAACUCGAGAACCUGUGAAGUGAAUUGAAUUGAUAGUACGUUAUAUAGCAGCUGAGAGCUGAUAAAAACUGAGAGCUGUGAACUGGAUGCAGGUGUGUGUGAUCUGGGAAUUGCAGUUCAUGGCAGCCAGCCAUGUUUGUGGACCGCAGUGAAGGAUGGGAAAUGUGGUUUGUGAUAUGAGUAGAUUUAACACUACCUCAAUAUGGUCAAAUACAGUUUAAAUGAAAUGGAUAAAAUUAUUGGGCGAAUCUUAUGCUUCUUACAAUUGUGCAUUCAGCCAAGAUGAUAAAUUUUAUUAGACUAAGUUAAAUACAUAUUCACAUUCCUCGAAAGUGAGCAACAUUUAAAUGUCAUGUAUGAAGGAUCUGAGUGAUAUUUUGAGUACAGUAUGUUGAUACAGUUAUAAAUUAAUAAGAAACAAAAUGCAUGUACAUGCAUGUAUACCAUUUAGACUACAGACUAGUGCUGUACACAUAGAACCAAAUUCACUAGGUUGUUUUGAAUGUAAAUUAGUGGGAUAAAAGUGGCUAGAGGACUGUAAAUGCAUAUCUAGAUCUCAACCUCAUUUACUCUAUUUUAGUUCUAUCUUAUUGGGAUUAUCACUCGUUAGCACAGAUGGAAUAUUAAUAUGUUCGGGUAGUGUGCACCACAAAUUUUCAGACUAAAGGAAUUUUGUUUUCCUUUCUCAAUAUCUUUCUGGUAAAUGAAAAACAGGAAGGGAUAAGAAUGUAUCCUUGUCAAUUGGGUUUGUACUUUUAAAAAUAAAUGGACUAGAACUAUUUUACAGGGAUAACUAUACAUGAGAGUGGAAAACCCCUUUAAGAGAGGUGUUAUUCGUUUGAUUAGAGCAGUGGAGAUUACUUUAGUAAAUUUUUUAAAUGAUUCGAUAGACCAACAUUAUUUAAUCUCUGCAGCAAUAUUUCCUGAUUCACUGUGUUGAGAGCCUCUUCUAAAUCAACAGACAGGGAAGUGCAGAGGGAACCGUGACAUUGUUUUAAGACUUUCAAAACAACAGUUGUGCUGAUAUGUUUGUAUGACCUUAGACUUCUUGCAGACUGAUAACAUGUGAACGGUUUACUGAAAAAGCUUUCUACAAGGGACAUAGGCGAGGAGGCCGUGUUAUUGGAUUGUAAUGAUCUAAUAUAGUUGGAUGUCCCCGAUUUAAUGUAAUAAAUAAAUAAGAAAACUGAUUUCCAAAUUUCUGGUAUAACCCCAUUGUCUAAUGAAAGAUUAAAAUGAUAAAUUGAAAGAGAUGAAAUAAUAGUUUAGAAAUACAGACUCCACACAAUCAGGGCCUUGUGAUGUGUUUAUAUCGAACUUGAGUGAUCUGUAAACAUCACAAGUCUUAACACUUUAAAAACUGAACUCCUCAUAUCGAAUUUUUUUUAAUAGCUUCCUGCUUUAUUAAAAUCAGGGUAUAGUAAAUCACGAUAAAUAUUCACUGUUUUAAGGCCUAGAUCUGAUGCAUAAAUUGAACAUUUAAUGAUGGGUUUUGCAGAUGUGUGUUCCCAGUUGUCUGUCUCCAGUUUCCAAGUACUAUUGCCCUGUAAACAAUAUCUUGAAAGGACAUGCCCACUUAGUCUAGCAUUAUUACAGCAAGCUGUGAUAACAAAAGCGAUAAGUUUUGCGAUACAACCAACCCACCCAGUAACCAUUAUUUAUAGUAUGAUGUAUAUAGAAUAUAUAUAUAUAUAUAUAUAUAUAUAUAUAUAUAUAUAUAUAUAUAUAUAUAUAUAUAUAUAUAAGAUGUCCCAAUUGUAACCUAUAACUGUAAUUCCAUUCCACAUGAUAUUAUUAUGGAUCCGCGCUUUUUCCAAAUGACUGCAUGUGAGAGCUCAAGGCCAUUAUUCCUCUUAACAAUUCCUAGAUAGGUAGUACACCUGGAAGCGUCUCCUUCGCGGGGCUGUGGGCUCCCCUGUGGUGUACUCCUCUGUGGUCAUAGACUCCCUUGCACGCUCCCAAGGCCGUCAGGACAUGAUUGGGGUCAUCCUCCGCCCCAUAAAAGCACAACAAAUGUUCCUGGACGUUAUCAAGUAUGGUCUGCAGUGGAUCACUGAUUGCUCACUAAAGGACAACAUCCUGACAUCCGGGUGUUCUUUGGACAAGCCUGACAUUGAAUGAACUUAUGCUUUGCACCUGAACUAUGGCUAGCAAACAAUAACAAAGACUGUGUCUUACAUGUGACUGAAGGGGUUGGGUGCUGCUGGGGGGGGUCCCGGCUCAGGAGAAUGGGGCGCUUACAGGGCUGAAAUUUAUGUAUUGAAAACAAUGGAUUUGGUGGCACAAGGAUUGCCAGGCUGGAGAUGCUCUCUUAGUGCAGAUCAUUGGGAAAAUUGCUCUCUCACACAUCGAUCUUACGUUUAUCACACCAGGUCAUUUCUAUUUUGAAAGAACAUGAUAUGGGGAUAUGGGGUUAAUCGAUGUGCCACCCGAACUAAAAUUCUUAAACCUGUUAGUGUACCUAACUCACCAACUGUAAGUGUUGUAGUGGUGUCAUUAAUUCUGUGGAGCCAGUCACUGAGAACACUCACGAUUGCCCAGCCGAAAUUUGUAUUUCGUUGAGCUUAAAAGUUUUGGGUCUGAAAUUUCACAAACAUUAUGAACACCCUGUUCUGCCCAAUUGGCUGAAUAGAAGUCUAUCACUAAAGAAUGCAACCUGGUUAAGGGUAGAAUUGUUAAAAAAAAAAUAUAUAUAAUAAAAAAUAAAUAAAAAAUAAUAUAAAUACUGAAGUUUAGGCCCAUGGAUUGUGUCGUCUGUUUGGAGUUGUUUGAAUGCAAUGAGGUUCUAGGAAACAAUUGGAACGGCACUUAUCGAACAAAUAGUUUAAUUGAAUUCUGACUGCACUUCUUGCUGUAUGUAUUACAGCUGCCCAUGAUCUUAGCCUCAGAGGGGGAAGGUAGAGGAAUGAUCUCUGUACUUGCAGGCAACGAUGGAGGGUCACCUGAAGUGUGCUCAAGAUUAUUUAUUAUUUUUUUUCCUUGACCAGGGAUAGGUCUGGCAUACCCUGAUGUGUGUUGGAUACAAUUUGUGCUGAUACUAAACGUAUUUCGGUAGAUGCUCUACCUCUUGCACUAAUGACCUAUCACAUGCAGACUAACAGCAAUAUGUAUCUAACACCGCAUGAAAUGCUUACGGGUCGACCCAUGUCUGUGUCUGUUCCUUAUGAUGGACGGCCGCUGGAGUAAUUGCAGAUGAAUCGAAAAACAUAUAUAAGACCACUAACUAUUAUGUAUGGAGCUAUCUAUUCACAGGAACACAGCUAAGUGCAGUGUUAUCAGUGUUAUGUGUGAGGCGUCACCGCCUCAACGGGGGGAGGUGUUCGGAGGUGUUCGGAGGUGUUCACCCGGAGGUGGGAGUCCCGGAGCUGCGAGAGAAGGCUGACUACAGGGCAGCAGCGGACUAGAACAUGCAACCCCUGGAGGAUGCUCAAUCCUCCAAUGACGAGAUGGUGGGGAACACGUGAAGGUCCGGUACGAAGCGUCAACGGGGGGUCUGCUCUGUGGCAGACAGGAUGAGAAGAUGUGAAGAUCCAUACCCUGGGUGUACGUGCUAGCCUAACCUCUCCCCAAAGGGUGGCUCUCUACAGUACGUAAAGUGCUUGAGCUGAAGACAACCAGCAUACAGAGAGAUACAGAUACUGCAUACAACAGACUGUCAAGUAUUGUUAUAAAAUGUUAUAAAAUGUUUGUGAUGUGACGCAAUCAGGCACAGAAAAGUAUAAUGGUGCUGCCGAGCACAUAGUGCUGGCCGGGUGGGAAUUUUUCCUCAUAAGAGGUUUUUUCGCCCACCCCUGACUGCGAAAGACUGGGGUUUGGUUUUUGAGG